UGCCCCAUAGUCUGGGAUACCACCUGGAAACAGGUGCUAAUACCGGAUAAGAAAGCGGAUCGCAUGAUCAGCUUUUAAAAGGCGGCGUAAGCUGUCGCUAUGGGAUGGCCCCGCGGUGCAUUAGCUAGUUGGUAAGGUAAAGGCUUACCAAGGCGAUGAUGCAUAGCCGAGUUGAGAGACUGAUCGGCCACAUUGGGACUGAGACACGGCCCAAACUCCUACGGGAGGCAGCAGGC
rnacentral:rRNA from 1 species